GGGCUUAUAUUUUAAUUGGUUGAAAUGUACCGCUCAUAACGCUGAUAUUAUAGGUUCGAUCCCUACUAAGCCUA
rnacentral:tRNA from 1 species